rfam:Photobacterium sp. 13-12 scaffold30, whole genome shotgun sequence.
AAGCACAUUGGGAGCUAUAACCCAAGGGCGGUAGCGUG